CAAUAAGCGGAGGAAAAGAAACCAACAGGGAUUACCUCAGUAACGGCGAGUGAAGCGGUAACAGCUCAAAUUUGAAAGCUAGCUCUUUUAGGGUUCGCAUUGUAAUUUGUAGAAGAUGCUUCGGGUGUGGCCCCGGUCUAAGUUCCUUGGAACAGGACGUCAUAGAGGGUGAGAAUCCCGUAUGUGACUGGGUGCUUUCGCUCAUGUGAAGCUCUUUCGACGAGUCGAGUUGUUUGGGAAUGCAGCUCAAAAUGGGUGGUAAAUUUCAUCUAAAGCUAAAUAUUGGCCAGAGACCGAUAGCGCACAAGUAGAGUGAUCGAAAGAUGAAAAGCACUUUGGAAAGAGAGUUAAACAGUACGUGAAAUUGUUGAAAGGGAAGCGCUUGCAACCAGACUUGCGCGCUGAUGAUCAUCCGGGCUUCUGUCCGGUGCACUCGUCUGCGCUCAGGCCAGCAUCGGUUUCGGUGGUGGGAUAAAGGCCUUGGGAAUGUAGCUCCUCUCGGGGAGUGUUAUAGCCCUCGGUGCAAUGCCGCCUAUCGGGACCGAGGACCGCGCUUCGGCUAGGAUGCUGGCGUAAUGGUUGUAAGCGACCCGUCUUGAAACACGGACCAAGGAGUCUAACAUCUAUGCGAGUGUUUGGGUGUCAAACCCAUACGCGUAAUGAAAGUGAACGGAGGUGAGAACCCUUAAGGGUGCAUCAUCGACCGGUCCUGAUGUCUUCGGAUGGAUCUGAGUAAGAGCAUAGCUGUUGGGACCCGAAAGAUGGUGAACUAUGCGUGAAUAGGGUGAAGCCAGAGGAAACUCUGGUGGAGGCUCGCAGCGGUUCUGACGUGCAAAUCGAUCGUCAAAUUUGCGUAUAGG
rnacentral:rRNA from 1 species